GAUGAACGCUGGCGGCGUGCCUAAUACAUGCAAGUCGAGCGAACGGACGAGAAGCUUGCUUCACUAAUGUUAGCGGCGGAAGGGUGAGUAACACGUGGAUAACCUACCUAUAAGACUGGGAUAAAUUCGGGAAACCGUAGCUAAUACCGGAUAAUAUUUUGAACAGCAUGGUUCAAAAGUGAAAGACGGUCUUGCUGUCACUUAUAGAUGGAUCCGCGCUGCAUUAGCUAGUUGGUAAGGUAACGGCUUACCAAGGCAACGAUGCAUAGCCGACCUGAGAGGGUGAUCGGCCACACUGGAACUGAGACACGGUCCAGACUCCUACGGGAGGCAGCAGUAGGGAAUCUUCCGCAAUGGGCGAAAGCCUGACGGAGCAACGCCGCGUGAGUGAUGAAGGUCUUCGGAUCGUAAAACUCUGUUAUUAGGGAAGAACAUAUGUGUAAGUAACUGUGCACAUCUUGACGGUACCUAAUCAGAAAGCCACGGCUAACUACGUG
rnacentral:rRNA from 1 species